rnacentral:rRNA from 1 species
GAUUAACGCUGGCGGCGUGCCUAACACAUGCAAGUCGAACGAGGUAGCAAUACCUAGUGGCAGACGGGUGAGUAACGCGUGGUCAACCUACCGUUGAGUGGGGGAUAACGAGCCGAAAGGUUAGCUAAUACCGCAUACGUCUCCGAGGGGCAUCCCUUGGCGAUAAAAGGAGCAAUCCGCUCGAUGACGGGACCGCGUCCCAUUAGCUAGAUGGUGGGGUAACGGCCUACCAUGGCACCGAUGGGUAGCUGGUUUGAGAGAGCGACCAGCCACACUGGGACUGAGAAACGGCCCAGACUCCUACGGGAGGCAGCAGUGAGGAAUUUUCCGCAAUGGGCGCAAGCCUGACGGAGCGACGCCGCGUGUGGGAAGAAGGCC